AUUGAACGCUGGCGGCAGGCCUAACACAUGCAAGUCGAGCGGAUGAAGGGAGCUUGCUCCUGGAUUCAGCGGCGGACGGGUGAGUAAUGCCUAGGAAUCUGCCUGGUAGUGGGGGAUAACGUCCGGAAACGGGCGCUAAUACCGCAUACGUCCUGAGGGAGAAAGUGGGGGAUCUUCGGACCUCACGCUAUCAGAUGAGCCUAGGUCGGAUUAGCUAGUUGGUGGGGUAAAGGCCUACCAAGGCGACGAUCCGUAACUGGUCUGAGAGGAUGAUCAGUCACACUGGAACUGAGACACGGUCCAGACUCCUACGGGAGGCAGCAGUGGGGAAUAUUGGACAAUGGGCGAAAGCCUGAUCCAGCCAUGCCGCGUGUCUGAAGAAGGUCUUCGGAUUGUAAAGCACUUUAAGUUGGGAGGAAGGGCAGUAAGUUAAUACCUUGCUGUUUUGACGUUACCAACAGAAUAAGCACCGGCUAACUUCGUG
rnacentral:rRNA from 1 species